rnacentral:lncRNA from 10 species
GUGCGCGUGGGUGUGUGUGUGUGGGCGUGUGUCGGGGGAGGGGAGGGCUGAGGUCGACUGGGCAGUAGAGGCAAGUUGCCCAAAUUCGCUAACUUCCAUCCCGCAAUUCCGCUGAACUCGGCCCGAAAAGCCCCCUCUUGCCUCAAUUCCCCGAAGUAAAUCUGAGCUUUGUGCAGCUCCGGAGCCAGAGCGUCCAGAUGCGGUCCGGGAGAUUAGCAAAGUCGGUGGAAGCCAAGCUGGAGAAAGCGCGGGCGCAGGGAGAAAAGUAGCCCCAAGUGCCCUGCAUUUGCUCUUCUAACAAAGUUCUGUUUGUUGACGGACUGACCGGCUUACCGACACAAAGAUGGGAAGCAAAUGGAGAGACGGAUCAAGGCCCUUCCUCGGCAUCUGGAGGAAGCUUGGGCGAGUGUCUUGGUCGCCAGAGAUGGGGUUUCAUGAUGUUGCCCAGUUCUUGAACUCCUGAGCUCCAGUGAUCAGUCUGCCUCGGCUGCCCAAAGUGCUGCGAUUACAAGUGUGAGCCACCGCGCUGGCCUAUAAUGUGUUCUUUACUCAUGUAUAUGUUUUUUAAUUUCCAUAAUAAAUUUUUUACAACUAUU